rfam:Solanum tuberosum cultivar DM 1-3 516 R44 scf00135_29, whole genome shotgun sequence.
GUGACAGAAGAGAGUGAGCACACAUGGUGUAUUCAAGCAUGAUGUUUACAUGCUUGAAGCUAUGCGUGCUCACUGCUCUAUCUGUCAC